GGCCGGCGGGCCGGGGGGAGGGUGGGGAAUGGCGCGGACCCCGGGGCCGGCUCCGCUGUGUCCCGGAGGCGGCAAAGCACAACUUUCCCUCGCUUCUCCCCCCGGGGCCGGGCUCCUGCUGCCGCCCCCGACGCCGCCGCCGCUGCUGCUGCUGCUCUUCCCGCUGCUGCUCUUCUCCCGGCUCUGCGGUGCUUUAGCUGGACCAAUUAUUGUGGAGCCACAUAUCACAGCAGUAUGGGGAAAGAAUGUUUCAUUGAAGUGUUUAAUUGAAGUAAAUGAAACUAUAACCCAAAUUUCAUGGGAAAAGGUACAUGGCAAAGGUUCACAGACUGUUGCAGUUCAUCAUCCUCAAUAUGGAUUCUCUGUUCAAGGAGAGUAUCAGGGAAGAGUCUUGUUUAAAAACUAUUCACUUAAUGAUGCAACAAUUACUCUACAUAACAUAGGAUUUUCUGAUUCUGGAAAAUACAUAUGCAAAGCUGUUACAUUCCCACUUGGAAAUGCUCAAUCCUCUACAACCGUAACUGUAUUAGUUGAACCCACUGUGAGCUUGAUAAAAGGGCCAGAUUCUUUAAUUGAUGGAGGAAACGAAACAGUAGCAGCCAUUUGUAUUGCAGCAACUGGGAAACCAGUUGCACAUAUUAACUGGGAAGGUGAUCUUGGUGAAAUGGAGUCCACUACAACUUCCUUUCCAAAUGAAACAGCCACAAUUGUCAGCCAAUACAAGCUGUUUCCAACCAGAUUUGCUAGAGGAAGGCGAAUUACUUGUGUUGUAAAACAUCCAGCCUUGGAAAAGGACAUCCGAUAUUCUUUCAUAUUAGAUAUACAAUAUGCUCCCGAAGUUUCAGUAACUGGCUAUGAUGGAAAUUGGUUUGUAGGAAGAAAAGGUGUUAAUCUCAAGUGUAAUGCUGAUGCAAAUCCACCACCCUUCAAAUCUGUGUGGAGCAGGUUGGAUGGACAGUGGCCUGAUGGCUUAUUGGCUUCAGACAAUACUCUUCAUUUUGUCCAUCCAUUGACUUUCAAUUAUUCUGGUGUUUAUGUCUGUAAAGUCACCAAUUCCCUUGGUCAAAGAAGUGAUCAAAAGGUCAUCUACAUUUCAGAUCCUCCUACUACUACCACCCUUCAGCCUACAGUUCAGUGGCAUCUCUCAACUGCUGACAUCGAAGAUCUAACAAAAGACGUAAAAAAAUUGCCCUUCCCAUUGUCAACUUUGGCAACAAUUAAGGAUGACACAAUUGGCACGAUCAUUGCUAGUGUAGUGGGUGGGGCUCUCUUCAUAAUACUUGUAAGUGUUUUGGGUGGAAUAUUCUGCUAUAGGAGAAGACGGACGUUUCGUGGAGAUUACUUUGCCAAGAACUACAUUCCACCCUCAGAUAUGCAAAAAGAAUCUCAAAUAGAUGUCCUUCAACAAGAUGAGCUUGAUUCUUACCCAGACAGUGUAAAAAAAGAAAACAAAAAUCCGGUGAACAAUCUAAUACGGAAAGACUAUUUAGAAGAGCCUGAAAAAACGCAGUGGAACAAUGUAGAAAAUCUCAGAUUUGAAAGACCAAUGGAUUAUUAUGAAGAUCUAAAAAUGGGAAUGAAGUUCGUCAGUGAUGAACAUUAUGACGAAAAUGAAGAUGACUUAGUUUCACAUGUAGAUGGUUCCGUAAUUUCCAGGAGGGAGUGGUAUGUUUAGCAACCACUAAAUUUGACUUAACUAUGUACAAUGUUUCAUUCAUACUAGUUGAUCAUUUUCAGAUUGUUCAUACAUUUUCUUGAGGAAGAAUAAGCUUUUACACCUUGAUUUUCAAGCUUACCUUUUUAUAUUCUAAUUUGACAGAUGCAAAUGUAAAAUCUAGGUUCAAUGUAUCUGAGCUGCUUUACAAUUUUUUUUUUUCAAUGCUGUACUACUGUCUCAAGAUUUAAAUUUUAAUGCAGAGUACUUUACUGGUCUGAGGCACACAGAUGUUCCGUUUAAGCCCACCUCUUCCAUAGCCAUAGCUGGAGCUGUAAUUGGAGCUGUCCUUGCCCUUCUCAUCAUUGCUGUCUU